rnacentral:lncRNA from 1 species
GGAGGAGCCGCGAGGGGAGUCGCCCUCCUAAUCGAGUUCGUUGAAGGAGGAGGAGGCGGCGACGACGAUGAUGGCGGCUGAGGAGGAGGCGAGGCGAAGAGGUUUCGAUGAACGGAGCAGAGGAAAGGGAGGGUGCGCCGAGCGCGAGAAAAGCGAUGAAGGAGAGAGGAGAGCUGCGGAUCCUGACGGGGAGAUCGGAGAGAGCGCGGAUUCCUGUGGGGAGAUCGGAGAGAGAUCGCAGAGAGAGAGGCGGGAUCGGAGAGAGAGAGAGAGAGGCAGGGGUGAGUUGGUGGCCAAGGGAU